rnacentral:rRNA from 1 species
AACGAACGCUGGCGGCGUGCCUAACACAUGCAAGUCGAACGAGAAAGGUCGCAAGACUGAGUACAGUGGCGCACGGGUGAGUAAUACAUAGGAAUCUUCCCUUUAGUGAAGAAUACCCUGGAGAAUCCAGGCUAAUACUGCAUAAGCCCAGAAAUGGGGAAAGGUGGCCUCAAGCUACCGCUGAAGGAUGAGCCUGUGUCCUAUUAGUUAGUUGGCAGGGUAAUGGCCUACCAAGACAAAGAUGGGUAUCCGGCCUGAGAGGGUGUACGGACACACUGGAACUGAAACACGGUCCAGACUCCUACGGGAGGCAGCAGUGGGAAUAUUGCACGAAUGGGCGCAAGCCUGAUGCAGCGACGCCGCGUGGAGGAUGACGGUCUUCGGAUUGUAAACUCCUGUUAAGUGGGAAGAAGACCAGUAUCUAAUACAUGCUGGGGAUGACGGUACCACUAGAGAAAGCACCGGCAAACUUCGUGCCAGCAGCCGCGGUAAU